CUGGCGGCGUGCUUAACACAUGCAAGUCGAACGCGAAAGGGACUUCGGUCCUGAGUAAAGUGGCGCACGGGUGAGUAACGCGUAGAUAACCUGUCUUCAUGUCUGGAAUAAUACGCCGAAAGGGGUACUAAUACCGGAUAUUCUUGCUUUUCAUAAGUUAUGCAAGCAAAGGUGGCCUCUGCAUAUGCUACUGCAUGAAGAGGGGUCUGCGUACCAUUAGCUAGUAGGUGGGGUAAUGGCCUACCUAGGCGACGAUGGUUAGCGGGUCUGAGAGGAUGAUCCGCCACACUGGCACUGGAACACGGGCCAGACUCCUACGGGAGGCAGCAGUGAGGAAUAUUGCGCAAUGGGGAAACCCUGACGCAGCGACGCCGCGUGAGUGAAGGAAGGCCUUCGGGUCGUAAAGCUCUGUCAAGAGGAAAGAAGUGUACAAUGGCUAAUACCUGUUGUAUUUGACGGUACCUCUAAAGGAAGCACCGGCUAACUCCGUGCCAGCAGCGGC
rnacentral:rRNA from 1 species